GCAGAGUAGGGAACCGCGCGUGGGGCGUUUUGCCCCGGAGUGCCUGACCAACGGGGAGUUGUGGCAGGACGAAGCGACCGGCAUGGUCCGCGGUGCGGCGCCCGCAUCCCGCUGC
rnacentral:ncRNA from 1 species